UAUAACCGGCGAUACCCGAAUGGGGAAACCCAGUGUGAUUCGUCACACUAUCAUUAACUGAAUCCAUAGGUUAAUGAGGCGAACCGGGGGAACUGAAACAUCUAAGUACCCCGAGGAAAAGAAAUCAACCGAGAUUCCCCCAGUAGCGGCGAGCGAACGGGGAGGAGCCCAGAGCCUGAAUCAGCAUGUGUGUUAGUGGAAGCGUCUGGAAAGUCGCGCGAUACAGGGUGACAGCCCCGUACACAAAAGCGCAUGUGUUGUGAGCUCGAUGAGUAGGGCGGGACACGUGGUAUCCUGUCUGAAUAUGGGGGGACCAUCCUCCAAGGCUAAAUACUCCUGACUGACCGAUAGUGAACCAGUACCGUGAGGGAAAGGCGAAAAGAACCCCGGCGAGGGGAGUGAAAAAGAACCUGAAACCGUGUACGUACAAGCAGUGGGAGCACCCUUCGGGGUGUGACUGCGUACCUUUUGUAUAAUGGGUCAGCGACUUAUAUUCUGUAGCAAGGUUAACCGAAUAGGGGAGCCGGAGGGAAACCGAGUCUUAAUUGGGCGUUAAGUUGCAGGGUAUAGACCCGAAACCCGGUGAUCUAGCCAUGGGCAGGUUGAAGGUUGGGUAACACUAACUGGAGGACCGAACCGACUAAUGUUGAAAAAUUAGCGGAUGACCUGUGGCUGGGGGUGAAAGGCCAAUCAAACCGGGAGAUAGCUGGUUCUCCCCGAAAGCUAUUUAGGUAGCGCCUCGUGAAUUCAUCUCCGGGGGUAGAGCACUGUUUCGGCUAGGGGGCCAUCCCGGCUUACCAACCCGAUGCAAACUGCGAAUACCGGAGAAUGUUAUCACGGGAGACACACGGCGGGUGCUAACGUCCGUCGUGAAGAGGGAAACAACCCAGACCGCCAGCUAAGGUCCCAAAGUCAUGGUUAAGUGGGAAACGAUGUGGGAAGGCCCAGACAGCCAGGAUGUUGGCUUAGAAGCAGCCAUCAUUUAAAGAAAGCGUAAUAGCUCACUGGUCGAGUCGGCCUGCGCGGAAGAUGUAACGGGGCUAAACCAUGCACCGAAGCUGCGGCAGCGACACUGUGUGUUGUUGGGUAGGGGAGCGUUCUGUAAGCCUGUGAAGGUGUGUCGUGAGGC
rnacentral:rRNA from 1 species